rnacentral:misc_RNA from 1 species
GUAACCUUUGACAUUAACAUUGUAAUCCUUGAUGGAUCCAAGCACAUUCCACAUGUGGGCUUUAAGAUAGUCUAUCCUGUGUUGAUCGUUAGUCCCUUGUUCCCAGGUUUUGCUUUUGUUAUUAUACUCAUCAACUCCAUUCUCAGUGAUGUAAAUUACCGGAUUAUUGUAUGUAUCUUUCGUGUAAUUCAAAAUAUGUCGGAUACCUUUUGGAUAGAUAUACAACCACGGAGAAUAAGCCUGAGGACCAAUGGGUUGACCAUCAUCAUCAUAAGCAGUUUGAGUAACUUGGCUGUCAGUUUUGU